rnacentral:misc_RNA from 1 species
GAUGAAGAACGCAGCGAAAUGCGAUAACUAAUGUGAAUUGCAGAAUUCAGUGAAUCAUCGAGUCUUUGAACGCACAUUGCGCCCCCUGGUAUUCCGGGGGGCAUGCCUGUCCGAGCGUCAUUGCUGCCCUCAAGCACGGCUUGUGUGUUGGGCUCCGUCCCCCCGGGGACGGGCCCGAAAGGCAGCGGCGGCACCGAGUCCGGUCCUCGAGCGUAUGGGGCUUUGUCACCCGCUCUGUAGGCCCGGCCGGCGCCAGCCGACAACCCAUCAUCCUUUUCAGGUUGACCUCGGAUCAGGUAGGGAUACCCGCUGAACUUAAGCAUAUCAAUAAGCGGAGG